UUAUUUUUAACAUGAAGGCAAUGAAGAAAUACUACGUGUCCUCGUGCUGAUAAUGUGCCGUGCUUGUGUGGCGACAGAAAGUAAACACGAUUUGCGGUGCUGCCAUCUAGACAAAGUGCUGCGGGAUACUUUUGUUUCAGUUUACACUUCACAGAGCUCACGGAGCAGCACGUUGUUGAGUGUCUGUCUGAAAUACUCCAAACUUUAGACUGUCAAAGGCGGAGCUUGUCCGGGAUAAUCCCACAUCGGAUGCAGCGACGCGUCGCGUGUUUACGUAAUCAAUUACGUCGUUGAAUCGCCCCAGCCUUGGACCUAUUGUCCUCACUGCUUGAUCAUCGUUGCUCCUAACCUGGUUCACUCACCCUCGUCCUCUGUCAGCUGGGCUCGCUCACCUGCCCUCUCCCCUCGGACUUCCCCCACAGCGUCCUCCCAGCUCUCGUGCCUCCCUAGUCAGCCUGCCACCACACUCCUCCACCAACCCCCAGAUCAGUUCUCCCGUGCCUCCUCUCUUCCUCAGCCCCCCAGGGUCCCUCGGCUCUCUGGUCUGUCUCCUCGGUUCCCCGUGCCUGCGUUUCCCCGGUGUCCACCUCUCCCUCAACUCCAGUCCCUUAACCCCUUUUUUCCCUAAUAAAGCCAUUUAAUCUUGA